AGAAUUUCAUGUCUUUUGUAUUAAAGAAUUAAAUGGAUGAAAUAUGAAGUUUUAUUAAAAGAAAAAGGGGUGAAAAGAACAAAGUUUUGUCCAUCUUUGUUCAUCAUAGCUGAAAGUUAGAGAAGAGAAAAGAGAGGAGAAAGCUCUUGAGUAUUUGGUCAUUAGGAGGAGGAAAAUUGAAGGCGGUUCGUGUGUGGAUCUCGUCAGCAUAUCGUCGCAAACAGGUGUGUAACUAACACCCUCUUUCUUAGUCUAGAUCGGCAAAAGCCGAAAUGCCGAAAUGCCGAAAACUGGUAUUUUGUAGAUUUGCGAGUGUGCGAAUGCUCGUGAGGUAAAUCGAUUAAUGUUUUUGGUAAGUUGCAAUGUUUGGACUGCAAAGUGCAUGAUUUCUAUGCCCUCGAUAUUUUUGGGCUUAAUGGGCCAAAAUUGGAAUGAUGGGUCAACGGGCCCAAUUCGGUAAGAACCCUCGGUACGUGAUUCUGUUAGUACGUGAAAA